rnacentral:rRNA from 1 species
UACGUAGGGUGCGAGCGUUAAUCGGAAUUACUGGGCGUAAAGCGUGCGCAGGCGGUUGGGCAAGACAGAGGUGAAAUCCCCGGGCUUAACCUGGGAACUGCCUUUGUGACUGCACGGCUAGAGUGUGUCAGAGGGGGGUAGAAUUCCACGUGUAGCAGUGAAAUGCGUAGAUAUGUGGAGGAAUACCGAUGGCGAAGGCAAUCCCCUGGGCCUGCACUGACGCUCAUGCACGAAAGCGUGGGGAGCAAACAGG